rnacentral:lncRNA from 1 species
GUGGGUGUGAGAAGCAUCAAAAGGAUCAUCAGCAGACCAGAGCACAGGAUCAGAGUUUCUGGGCAGGGUGGGUAGGGCAAGGUCCUGCCUGUGUCAGCCCAGAGGAUGCUCCAUCAGACUCCUGUCAGCCUGCAUAGCUGGAGCAGCAAUCCUGGUUGCACUCACCGAGGAGGAGCCAAGAGCAGCCCCAAGACAGAGUGCUCCCUUAGAAUGCCGUGGAAAGUGUGGAGCACACAGGCCCAGGACUCGGACAACAGAGCUUUUCCUUCAGUAAAACAAGUAAAUUGCCUUGCCCUUUCCAAGGGGGUAUGUGAAGUUCCAGGAGACAAGCUUAGAGAAAGAAGGCCCCUAGAAUGGACGCCCUCACUCAUCUCUCUCCAGGUCUUCCUUCUGUAAGAACUGACAGCAGCUCCAUUUCCGGUGUGUCUACAGCCACACCAUCACGCUCUUCAAUUGGUGGGCUGGUGUCCAGCAUGUUCUGGCCUGGAAGGAUCAGUUUGUGACCAGCACUGCUCACUCUUUCUGCCAUCU